GAAAUGCGAUAAGUAAUGUGAAUUGCAGAAUUCAGUGAAUCAUCGAAUCUUUGAACGCACCUUGCGCUCCUUGGUAUUCCUUGGAGCAUGCCUGUUUGAGUAUCAUGAAAUCUUCAAAGUAAAUCUUUUGUUAACUCAAUUGGUUUCUACUUUGGUAUUGGAGGUCUUUGCAGCUUCACACCUGCUCCUCUUUGUUCAUUAGCUGGAUCUCAGUGUUAUGCUUGGUUCCACUCGGCGUGAUAAGUUAUCUAUCGCUGAGGACACUGUAAAAGGUGGCCAAGGGAAAUGCAGAUGAACCGCUUCUAAUAGUCCAUUGACUUGGACAAUACUUUUAUGAUCUGAUCUUCAAUCAGGUAGGACUACCCGCUGAACUUAAGC
rnacentral:misc_RNA from 1 species